AGGGAAUUUACUAGUCUGAAGGAGGAUCUUCAGAAGAGACUGUCAGAAAAGGAAGACGGUGCAUCUGUUCUGCUUAACAUCUUACAGACCCAUACUGCUUGUGCUUAAACACUAACUGGACUAAACCUUCUUCCCUGAGACAUCAUGGCCCUGGCCCCAGAAUUGAGCAGACAGACAAAACUGAAAGAGGUCGCAGGGAUCCCACUGCAGGCUCCAACUGUCGACAACUGGAGUCAGAUUCAGACCUUCAAGGCGAAGCCAGAUGACCUCCUCAUCUGUACUUACCCUAAAUCAGGGACAACAUGGAUUCAAGAAAUUGUCGACAUGAUUGAGCAGAAUGGGGAUGUAGAGAAGUGCCAGAGGACCAUCAUUCAACACCGACACCCUUUUAUUGAGU
rnacentral:sRNA from 1 species